rnacentral:rRNA from 1 species
UGGGGAAUAUUGCGCAAUGGGCGAAAGCCUGACGCAGCAACACCGCGUGAGGGAUGACGGCCUUCGGGUUGUAAACCUCUUUCAGCUCCGACGAAGCGAAAGUGACGGUAGGAGCAGAAGAAGCACCGGCUAACUACGUGCCAGCAGCCGCGGUAAUACGUAGGGUGCAAGCGUUGUCCGGAAUUAUUGGGCGUAAAGAGCUCGUAGGCGGUCCGUUGCGUCUGCCGUGAAAACCCGGAGCUCAACUCCGGGCCUGCGGUGGAUACGGGCGGACUAGAGUCCGGUAGGGGAGACUGGAAUUCCUGGUGUAGCGGUGGAAUGCGCAGAUGAUCAGGAGGAACACCGGUGGCGAAGGCGGGUCUCUGGGCCGGAACUGACGCUGAGGAGC